CUUGGUGGUGGGGGAGUAGCCGGGCUACGCCCGGGUAAUACCGCAUACGAUCACCGGAAGGAGUCUUCUGGUGAGGAAACCCUUCGGGGGCACGGAGAGGGGCUCGCGGCCUAUCAGCUAGUUGGCGGGGUAAUGGCCCACCAAGGCGACGACGGGUAGCUGGUCUGAGAGGAUGGCCAGCCACAUUGGGACUGAGAAACGGCCCAG
rnacentral:rRNA from 1 species